ACCCCGAGUUAGUGAAAGCACUGCGGCAAGCGACGAUGGGCGGCUACGCACUCGUGGGCGAUCAGCUCAAGGCGCGUCUCGUCGCAAACGGCGAGCGCGUGGGGCCGGCUAAACCGGGCCCCAAGAGCAAGAGUGUCCCUGAGGAAGAGCAGGCCUCUGCGGACCUAUUCGGUGAAUUAGCGCCCUGACCCCGAAUUAUUUUUUGAAGUCGCCGGCCAUCACCAGGCUGACCUUCGCC
rnacentral:misc_RNA from 1 species